GAGGGUAUAGCUCAGUGGUAGAGCGCGUGCUUAGCGUGCACAAGGUCCUGGAUUCAAUCCCAGUGCCUCCU
rnacentral:tRNA from 1 species